AUUGAACGCUGGCGGAAUGCUUUACACAUGCAAGUCGAACGGCAGCACGGGGGCAGCCCUGGUGGCGCGUGGUGAACGGGUGAGUAAUACAUCGGAACGUGCCCGGUCGUGGGGGCUAACGUAGCGACAGUUACGCUAAUACCGCAUCCGAUCUGAGGAUGAAAGCGGGGGACCUUCGGGCCUCGCGCGAUCGGCGCGGCCGAUGUCAGAUUAGGUAGUUGGUGGGGUAAAGGCCUACCAAGCCGACGAUCUGUAGCUGGUCUGAGAGGACGACCAGCCACACUGGGACUGAGACACGGCCCAGACUCCUACGGGAGGCAGCAGUGGGGAAUUUUGGACAAUGGGCGCAAGCCUGAUCCAGCCAUGCCGCGUGCAGGACGAAGGCCUUCGGGUUGUAAACUGCUUUUGUACGGAACGAAAAGGCUCUGGCUAAUACCUGGGGCUCAUGACGGUACCGUAAGAAUAAGCACCGGCUAACUACGUG
rnacentral:rRNA from 1 species